CUAGAUAAUUCCUUCUCAUUCUCUACUCUGUUGUCCAUGGCCUUGGAUCUGUUCGGACUAGCACCUUUUUCAUCUCUAGGAUGGCUGGAGAAGUGAGAGGACAUAGACAAGGAGGAAUUAUUCAAAGAGGGGCCAAGAUGGCGAGAAGCUGGAAACUGGCACAGCUCCUGACCUGGAGCACACUGGAGAAGACAGGACCUAUUCAGCAACAUACUGUCUUCAACGCCUUCACUGGCUGUCAUGGGAAAUGUGACAGACACAUUCGGCGCAAGCCCACAGGCAGAACCACACGUACAGAGAAAUCGAUCACAAUGGGAUAAUACAUUUGCCAGGAUAUCCUCAACACCUAGAACCCCAGCACUUGAAAAGCAUUUGUUGAAUGAAUGAAUCAGUGAAUGAAUGCCAGAAAUGAAUACAGGCCGAGGAGUCCAGAAAGAAUUCCUGGAGGAAAGGCGGUCUGAGUUGGUCUUAGAAGGGUUAGUCAAGCUGGGAGAUCAUCACCAUUUUAGUCUCAUUAUUCCAUGAGAUCUGAUAUUAACAACCACAAGCUACCAUGACCAGAGUGCUUGCUAUGUGUGAGGCAUGAUUUGGGGCACUUUUAUCACAAUGUUUUAUAUUCCAGAGAACAUAUUCAGACCAGCUUAUAAGUCAACCUGAAAUAAUUUUCUGCAUUAAAAAAAAAUCGGUUUUGACACAUUCUUGUCAUGGAAGUCAACCAUUGUUCCAGUGAUGCUCUGAACAGCUGCAGACCAGAGGAAGCCAGAGGAAGCUCCCUCCGCCUGCUGUUUAAGCAGCUGGCAGGUUAACAGAGACCACCCCAGACCCUGCAGCCAUCAGCAGCUGCUGGAGCGGAUGGAAAUUCUGCUACCCAUCAAGUCCAACAGAUGAGAACAGAGGGAGUGGCCUUGGCCGCGGGUAUGACCUGUUUAUGUCAACCUUAACGUGGAGGAAGUUUUUGAGUCCCUAAAGGUCAACCAGCUAGCAUGGUUCAGACAAGAACUCUUCAGACUUGCAGCAAGAACUUCUCCAUGUUCCUGCAGUCAGGUUCUGGGAGGACCACCCCAAAUGCUGGGGCGGGGAGGUCUAGUGGCAUGGGUUCACAUGUUUCCAUACUUGCUUCUGCCGCUGACGAGGUCACAAAGCCAAAUUUCCAGACUUGGUGAAGUUUGGAGGUGAAAGGAGUCAUAGAGAUAAUUUAGACCCAGCCCUGUAUUUAAGGAAUGAGCCACUCAUUUGAUGAAACCCCAAGGGUCAUCAUCUCGCCCCAGGCCACAUAGCCAACUGCUGGUAGUUAAAGAGUCAAGCCUCUUACCCAAGGGC
rnacentral:lncRNA from 1 species